rnacentral:tmRNA from 1 species
GGGGGCGUUCUGGUUUCGACGGAAUGUCUGAUGCGCUGGCUGCACGUGGAGGUUGAUCGGUUGGCCUCCUUAAAAGCCGGUCAAAACAAACAAAUGCAAACUCUAACGAGCUCGCACUGGCUGCUUAAUUGACAGUCACACCUGAACCCAGACGCCUGCUGCGGGGAAUGGUGACACCUUUGCAGGCUGGGCCGGAGCCGGGUAACCGGGCCUCGCGCCGAGACCAAACAGGUUCCUAGGAUCGACAACGCGGCGUGAGAGCCCAGCCUAUCCGAAAUCCCAGAUCUCAUGCUAAACGUGUAGAUGCCUGUGUUGAUGGCGUUCCGGACAGGGGUUCGACUCCCCUCGCCUCCACCU